GCUGGGUGCAGUGGUGCACGCCUGUAAUCCCAGCUACUUGGGAGGCUGAGGCAGGAGAAUCACUUGAACCCGGGAGGUGGAGGUUGCAGUGAGCCGAGAUGGAGCCACUGCACUCCAACCUGGGCGACAGAGCAAGACUGUAUCNNNNNNNNNNGAUACAGUCUUGCUCUGUCGCCCAGGUUGGAGUGCAGUGGCUCCAUCUCGGCUCACUGCAACCUCCACCUCCCGGGUUCAAGUGAUUCUCCUGUCUUAG
rnacentral:SRP_RNA from 1 species